UACGAAGGGGGGCUAGCGUUUGUUCGGAAUUACUGGGCGUAAAGCGCACGUAGGCGGAUUGUUAAGUUAGGGGUGAAAUCCCGGGGCUCAACCCCGGAACUGCCUUUAAUACUGGCAAUCUCGAGUCCGAGAGAGGUGAGUGGAAUUCCGAGUGUAGAGGUGAAAUUCGUAGAUAUUCAGAGGAACACCAGUGGCGAAGGCGGCUCACUGGCUCGGUACUGACGCUGAGGUGCGAAAGGCGUGGGGGAGCAAACAGG
rnacentral:rRNA from 1 species